CAGUAGCCGCGGUAAUACGGAGGGUGCGAGCGUUAAUCGGAAUUACUGGGCGUAAAGCGUACGCAGGCGGUUUGUUAAGUCAGAUGUGAAAUCCCCGAGCUUAACUCGGGAACUGCAUUUGUGACUGGCGAGCUAGAGUAUGGCAGAGGGGGGUAGAAUUCCACGUGUAGCAGUGAAAUGCGUAGAGAUGUGGAGGAAUACCGAUGGCGAAGGCAGCCCCCUGGGCCAAUACUGACGCUCAUGCACGAAAGCGUGGGGAGCAAACAGGAUUAGAUACCCCGGUAGUCCCUGUCUCUUAUAC
rnacentral:rRNA from 1 species